rnacentral:rRNA from 1 species
UACGGAGGAUGCAAGCGUUAUCCGGAUUCAUUGGGUUUAAAGGGUGCGCAGGCGGGGGAAUAAGUCAGUGGUGAAAAGCUGCCGCUCAACGGUAGUCUUGCCAAUGAUACUGUUUUUCUUGAGUAUGGUUAAGGUAGGCGGAAUGUGUAGUGUAGCGGUGAAAUGCAUAGAUAUUACACAGAACACCGAUUGCGAAGGCAGCUUACUAAUCCAUCAUUGACGCUGAGGCACGAAAGCGUGGGGAUCAAACAGGAUUA